AAGUCGUAACAAGGUUUCCGUAGGUGAACCUGCGGAAGGAUCAUUAAAAGUGAUUGGUUAUGACAUUUCAUGUUAUCAACUGCAAUUUAACCCCAAUUUCCAGCAUGUCACCUUGCCUCGUUUGCCUUUGCCUAUGGGGUCCCAUGGCACCUCAGGUGCACUCUUGUGAUGUGAAACCCAAGAGAGUCCCCAUGGGAGGUAAUCAUUAAAUUCAUGUAUCCAAUGUCUUCUGUCUGAACUGUUUAUAACAAAUGUUAAAA
rnacentral:misc_RNA from 1 species